GACGAACGCUGGCGGCGUGCUUAACACAUGCAAGUCGAACGGAAAGGCCCUGCUUUUGUGGGGUGCUCGAGUGGCGAACGGGUGAGUAACACGUGAGUAACCUGCCCUUGACUUUGGGAUAACUUCAGGAAACUGGGGCUAAUACCGGAUAGGAGCUCCUGCUGCAUGGUGGGGGUUGGAGAGUUUCGGCGGUUGGGGAUGGACUCGCGGCUUAUCAGCUUGUUGGUGGGGUAGUGGCUUACCAAGGCUUUGACGGGUAGCCGGCCUGAGAGGGUGACCGGCCACAUUGGGACUGAGAUACGGCCCAGACUCCUACGGGAGGCAGCAGUGGGGAAUAUUGCACAAUGGGCGGAAGCCUGAUGCAGCAACGCCGCGUGCGGGAUGACGGCCUUCGGGUUGUAAACCGCUUUCGCCUGUGACGAAGCGUGAGUGACGGUAAUGGGUAAAGAAGCACCGGCUAACUACGUGCCAGCAGCCGCGGUGAUACGUAGGGUGCGAGCGUUGUCCGGAUUUAUUGGGCGUAAAGGGCUCGUAGGUGGUUGAUCGCGUCGGAAGUGUAAUCUUGGGGCUUAACCCUGAGCGUGCUUUCGAUACGGGUUGACUUGAGGAAGGUAGGGGAGAAUGGAAUUCCUGGUGGAGCGGUGGAAUGCGCAGAUAUCAGGAGGAACACCAGUGGCGAAGGCGGUUCUCUGGGCCUUUCCUGACGCUGAGGAGCGAAAGCGUGGGGAGCGAACAGGCUUAGAUACCCUGGUAGUCCACGCUGUAAACGGUGGGUACUAGGUGUGGGGUCCAUUCCACGGGUUCCGUGCCGUAGCUAACGCUUUAAGUACCCCGCCUGGGGAGUACGGCCGCAAGGCUAAAACUCAAAGGAAUUGACGGGGCCCCGCACAAGCGGCGGAGCAUGCGGAUUAAUUCGAUGCAACGCGUAGAACCUUACCUGGGUUUGACAUGGAUCGGGAGUGCUCAGAGAUGGGUGUGCCUCUUUUGGGGUCGGUUCACAGGUGGUGCAUGGCUGUCGUCAGCUCGUGUCGUGAGAUGUUGGGUUAAGUCCCGCAACGAGCGCAACCCUUGUUCACUGUUGCCAGCACGUUAUGGUGGGGACUCAGUGGAGACCGCCGGGGUCAACUCGGAGGAAGGUGGGGAUGACGUCAAGUCAUCAUGCCCCUUAUGUCCAGGGCUUCACGCAUGCUACAAUGGCUGGUACAGAGAGUGGCGAGCCUGUGAGGGUGAGCGAAUCUCGGAAAGCCGGUCUCAGUUCGGAUUGGGGUCUGCAACUCGACCUCAUGAAGUCGGAGUCGCUAGUAAUCGCAGAUCAGCAACGCUGCGGUGAAUACGUUCCCGGGGCU
rnacentral:rRNA from 1 species